AGCGCAUGCUCAGACAUACCGCGGGCCACAAGCUUGGAGGUGGAACGGCCGUUGACUGGCCGGCGUCAUCAUGCGGUGUCUUUACAGACUCGCUGGUGUGUGACAGCACAUAACUCGCGAGAGACCCCAGUAUGCAGAUGAGGAUGUGACAAUGAGUUUGGAGUUGCCUUCAACUUUGGGGGAAACAGAAGAAACUGAAGCACAAAACAGAAACUUAGAGAAGCUGAAAGAAGCUAAAGUAUUUAAAAACAUAUUAAAUGGGUAUCACUCCUUAUCUUGAAAUGUUCUCAAAUGUCAUAGCACGAGAGAACCACGGUGGCAUUGUGAAUAUAAGCCCAAAAGAAGAUGGCAGCAACAGACUGUGGUACACGUCUGCACUCUUUUCCAGUCUCCACGGCCACCACCUGCCUCCACAGGCUCCACUUGAGGAUUCUCAGAGCUGCAGGAUCGAGAGUUUUUUCCAGCUUCUAUCCUCAUGGUGACUCCCCAUGCAGUUUCUUGAGGGCUGUGGUAAACCAUUUCUCUGUAAUAAAAAUACCCAUGAUACUCUUUUCUCUACUGCCUCUUUGAAAUGUAAGACUGGCAGUAUUAAAAAAAAAAAAGAUGGCAGUAUUAAAAUUGCUUAUAUUGAAUGUACUGUCAUUUCCAAAAUUCUUCACAUGGUCAAAUAAAAAUAUUCUCUUUGAAUAUGCAAA